rnacentral:rRNA from 1 species
UGAGUAACCUGCCCUUAACUCUGGGAUAAGCCUGGGAAACUGGGUCUAAUACCGGAUAUGACUCCUCAUCGCAUGGUGGGGGGUGGAAAGCUUUAUUGUGGUUUUGGAUGGACUCGCGGCCUAUCAGCUUGUUGGUGGGGUAAUGGCCCACCAAGGCGACGACGGGUAGCCGGCCUGAGAGGGUGACCGGCCACACUGGGACUGAGACACGGCCCAGACUCCUACGGGAGGCAG